UUCCAGGCGGCAUCAUACUAUUACAGUCGAACGAUGAACCACUUCGGUGGGGAUUAGUGGCGAACGGGUGAGUAACACGUGGGCAAUCUGCCCUGCACUCUGGGACAAGCCCUGGAAACGGGGUCUAAUACCGGAUACUGAUCCCCGCAGGCAUCUGCGGGGUUCGAAAGCUCCGGCGGUGCAGGAUGAGCCCGCGGCCUAUCAGCUUGUUGGUGAGGUAACGGCUCACCAAGGCGACGACGGGUAGCCGGCCUGAGAGGGCGACCGGCCACACUGGGACUGAGACACGGCCCAGACUCCUACGGGAGGCAGCAGUGGGGAAUAUUGCACAAUGGGCGAAAGCCUGAUGCAGCGACGCCGCGUGAGGGAUGACGGCCUUCGGGUUGUAAACCUCUUUCAGCAGGGAAGAAGCGAAAGUGACGGUACCUGCAGAAGAAGCGCCGGCUAACUACGUGCCAGCAGCCGCGGUAAUACGUAGGGCGCGAGCGUUGUCCGGAAUUAUUGGGCGUAAAGAGCUCGUAGGCGGCCUGUCACGUCGGUUGUGAAAGCCCGGGGCUUAACCCCGGGUCUGCAGUCGAUACGGGCAGGCUAGAGUUCGGUAGGGGAGAUCGGAAUUCCUGGUGUAGCGGUGAAAUGCGCAGAUAUCAGGAGGAACACCGGUGGCGAAGGCGGAUCUCUGGGCCGAUACUGACGCUGAGGAGCGAAAGCGUGGGGAGCGAACAGGAUUAGAUACCCUGGUAGUCCACGCCGUAAACGGUGGGCACUAGGUGUGGGCGACAUUCCACGUCGUCCGUGCCGCAGCUAACGCAUUAAGUGCCCCGCCUGGGGAGUACGGCCGCAAGGCUAAAACUCAAAGGAAUUGACGGGAGCCCGCGCAAGCGGCGGAGCAUGUGGCUUAAUUCUACGCAACGCGAACAACCUUACCAAGGCUUGACAUACACCGGAUAGCAUCAGACAUGGUGCCCCCCUGGUGGUCGGAGUCCAGGUGGUGCAGGGUUGU
rnacentral:rRNA from 1 species